rnacentral:tRNA from 1 species
GGGAUGUUGGUUCAAUGGUGAGAACGAUGGCUUGUUACGCCAUCCAUCAGGGCUUCCAAUAUAGAGAAGGUUCCCCUGCUCCCG